rnacentral:rRNA from 1 species
AUUGAACGCUGGCGGCAUGCUUUACACAUGCAAGUCGAACGGUAACAGGCCGCAAGUUGCUGACGAGUGGCGAACGGGUGAGUAAUGCAUCGGAACGUGCCCAGUCGUGGGGGAUAACGCAGCGAAAGCUGCGCUAAUACCGCAUACGAUCUAAGGAUGAAAGCGGGGGACCGUAAGGCCUCGCGCGAUUGGAGCGGCCGAUGUCAGAUUAGGUAGUUGGUGGGGUAAAGGCUCACCAAGCCAACGAUCGGUAGCUGGGCUGAGAGGACGACCAGCCACACUGGGACUGAGACACGGCCCAGACUCCUACGGGAGGCAGCAGUGGGGAAUUUUGGACAAUGGGCGCAAGCCUGAUCCAGCAAUGCCGCGUGCAGGAAGAAGGCCUUCGGGUUGUAAACUGCUUUUGUACGGAACGAAACGGUCCUGGUUAAUACCCGGGGCUAAUGACGGUACCGUAAGAAUAAGCACCGGCUAACUACGUGCCAGCAGCCGCGGUAACAC